GCUAACACCUGCUCUCGUACGAUCACCGACGUUAAGCAACGCCGAGCCUGAUCAGUACCUAGAUGAGAGACCACUUGGAAAUAUCACGUGCUGUU